rnacentral:rRNA from 1 species
UCGCUCCUACCGAUUGAGUGAUCCGGUGAAUAACUCGGACUGAUGCAAUGCUCAGCUCCUGGACUUUGCGUUGGAAAGUUUAGUGAACCUUAUCACUUAGAGGAAGGAG